AGAGUUUGAUCCUGGCUCAGAUUGAACGCUGGCGGCAUGCCUUACACAUGCAAGUCGAACGGCAGCACGGGAGCAAUCCUGGUGGCGAGUGGCGAACGGGUGAGUAAUGUAUCGGAACGUACCUUUCAGUGGGGGAUAACGUAGCGAAAGUUACGCUAAUACCGCAUAUUCUGUGAGCAGGAAAGCAGGGGAUCGCAAGACCUUGCGCUGAUUGAGCGGCCGAUAUCAGAUUAGCUAGUUGGUGAGGUAAAGGCUCACCAAGGCGACGAUCUGUAGCGGGUCUGAGAGGAUGAUCCGCCACACUGGAACUGAGACACGGUCCAGACUCCUACGGGAGGCAGCAGUGGGGAAUUUUGGACAAUGGGGGCAACCCUGAUCCAGCCAUGCCGCGUGAGUGAAGAAGGCCUUCGGGUUG
rnacentral:rRNA from 1 species